rnacentral:lncRNA from 1 species
UUAUAAAUUGUUUCUUUCAUGUUUAUAUGAGACUAUAUACGCACAUGAUUCUUGAGUCCGGUUAGAGGCUUGGUUGAGUUGAGUCAAAUUAACUCCAUGAAGUGGAGAAUAUUGGAUGCUUCUCGUCUUUCUUAUUCGUUGUGAAAGGUAAGAUCAUUCUCAUUUGCCUCUCUCAAAACAGAAACUAUUUUUUUUUAUCAUAGAGGAAUUAUAUGAUACUUAAGCUUGGAUUGUUGAAUUCCCUAAGACUAAAAAAUGGUAUUUAAUGAGUUCAAAGGCUUAAGACGUUCAAAAUGAAAUACUAGAGGUACGCAAAUGAAUUUUGGUCUAGCUGUAAGUCUUUUGCAAAAUGGAAAGACAUAUAAUAAAAAAAUAUCAUAGAUUGUACAUGAACAAGGAAACUCAAUACAUUGUGCAAAGACAUUUAUUAAAAAAAAUAAAAUAAAAUUGUACAUAAACAAUGAAACUCAUUCAACAGUAUUCUCCUUAUUCUGAUGCUUACAAUUGGUGGAUGGUUUUUUGUUUUGUUGCAGAUGGUGUAUGACUGGGAUUCUCUUCAGCCGUGAGUGAUGACAAAAGUAGUGAUUCAGAUUACAGAAUCUGUAAAUUAGUGAAAAUUUCAGCAGUCUACUAGCUGACUAUCAAAUCAGCUUCUCUUUGAUGGUGUCAUGGUGGUGAAUUAGAACUUCUGCUUCAGUAGAUUAACCUUCCAGAUUCCAAAUGAUUAUGUCUCAUGUAUUCUAUAUUCUCGAAUCUCGCUGCUGUGUUUGUUAGUAGCUGCUCUUAUGCUUUUUGUUAUGACCUUAAGGGGUUUCCAUAGAAUAUCGUUUUUGUAGUCUUGUAGACAUGCCUCCUGCACAAUUUCUGAUCUCUUGUGAAAGUUGAAGCAAGGCAAAUGAUGAUUUAUAAAAGCUUUUAUUUAUCUCGUGUA